rnacentral:rRNA from 1 species
AUUGAACGCUGGCGGCAGGCCUAACACAUGCAAGUCGAACGAGUGGCGGACGGGUGAGUAAUGUCUGGGAAACUGCAUGAUGGAGGGGGAUAACUACUGGAAACGGUCGCUAAUACCGCAUACCAUCAGAUGUGCCCAGAUGGGAUUAGCUAGUAGGUGGGGUAAUGGCUAACCUAGGCGACGAUCCCUAUAUGGUAUGAACGGAUGACCUGCCACACUGGAACGGAGACACGGUCCAUACUCCUACGGGAGUCAGUAUUGGGUAAUAUUGCACAACUGGCGCAAGCCUGAUGCAGCCAUGCCGUGUGUGUGAAGAAGGCCUUCGGGUUGUAAAGCAUUUGCAGCGAGGAGGCGUUACUCGCAGAAGAAGCACCGGCUAACUCCGUGCCAGCAGCCGCGGUAAGUC